rnacentral:rRNA from 1 species
GACGAACGCUGGCGGCGUGCUUAACACAUGCAAGUCGAACGGAAAGGCCCAGCUUGCUGGGUGCUCGAGUGGCGAACGGGUGAGUAACACGUGGGUGAUCUGCCCCUAACUUCGGGAUAAGCUUGGGCAACUGGGUCUAAUACCGGAUAGGACAAUCGUUUAGUGUCGGUUGUGGAAAGUUUUUUCGGUUAGGGGUGAGCCGGCGGGCUAUGAGCUUGUUGGGGGGGUAAUGGCCUACCAAGGCGUCGGGGGGUAGCCGGCCUGGGAGGGGGGACGGCGACAUGGGGACGGAGGGAGGGCGCAGAGGGGGAGGGGAGGCAGCGGGGGGGAGGGUGGCGGAGGGGGGGCGAGCGUGAGGCGGCGGCGGGGGGUGGGGGAUGACGGGCUGCGGGGUGUGAACCUCUGUCGACGGGGACGAAGCUGUGGUGACGGUACCUGUAUAAGAAGCACCGGCUAACUACGUG